rnacentral:misc_RNA from 1 species
GGAAGUAAAAGUGUAACAAGGUCUCCGUUGGUGAACCAGCGGAGGGAUCAUUAUCGAGUUUAUAACUCCCAAACCCUAUGUGAACUUACCACUUGUUGCUUCGGCGCGCGCUUCGGUGCCGCCGAGGACACUUAAACUCUUUGUUUUUAUAAGCAUUUCUGAGUGGCCGAAAGGCAAAAUACAAAUGAAUCAAAACUUUCAACAACGGAUCUCUUGGUUCUG